UCACUGGGUUCAGUUUGUCCAA
rnacentral:miRNA from 15 species